rnacentral:tRNA from 1 species
GGCUUUGUAGUGUAAUCUAACAUUUAGGAUUGCAAGUCCUAAGAUGCAAUUAAUAUGUUGUCAAAGCUU